rnacentral:pre_miRNA from 1 species
ACUCCCUCCGUCCCAAAAUGCUUGUCUUAGAUUUGUUUAAAUAUGAAUGUAUCUAGUCAAGUUUUAUUAUUUAGAUACAUCCAUUUCAAGACAAAGCUAAGACAAGAAUUUUGGGACGGAGGGAGUACUGA